AAACAUCUCUUUGCUUAUUUAUGUAUUGUCAGUUGAGUUUUCCUAUUGUCCUGAAGUUGAUGUCUCUGGCUAUCCCAUCACCCCAUCUUCCUGGGACUCAGCACAGCACCUGGCCCUGAUUGGGGCUCAGCAUGGCAUCACAUAUCAUCUAACUUGAAUUGGUUCUGUGUGCAGUAAUGCACAGAGGAAGGAACACAGGAUUUGACAGACUUGAAUUUGUAUUCUGGUCUUUCCAUUGAAAAUAGUACCAACAUUGCAGAUAGUUGGUGGACUGGCUGCUUUGUUCAACAUGACUUCCAAGGCUGACAGAAUUUGGCUGGUUGCUGUGGGAGAGAG